UCCCAGGUAGCUCAAAUAGUAAAGAAUCUGUCUGCUAUGCAGGAGACCUGGGUUUGAUCCCUGGUUUGAGAA
rfam:Ovis aries breed Texel chromosome 15, whole genome shotgun sequence.